rnacentral:rRNA from 1 species
UACAGAGGGUGCGAGCGUUGUUCGGAAUUAUUGGGCGUAAAGGGCGCGUAGGCGGUGCGGUAAGUCACCUGUGAAAUCUCCUGGCUUAACUGGGAGCCUGCAGGCGAAACUACCGUGCUGGAGUGUGGGAGAGGUGCGUGGAAUUCCCGGUGUAGCGGUGAAAUGCGUAGAUAUCUGCAGGAACACCCGUGGCGAAAGCGGCGCGCUGGACCACUACUGACGCUGAGGAACGAAAGCUAGGGGAGCAAACAGG